CAGCCGCCGCGGUAAUACGUAGGUGGCAAGCGUUAUCCGGAAUUAUUGGGCGUAAAGCGCGCGUAGGCGGUUUUUUAAGUCUGAUGUGAAAGCCCACGGCUCAACCGUGGAGGGUCAUUGGAAACUGGAAAACUUGAGUGCAGAAGAGGAAAGUGGAAUUCCAUGUGUAGCGGUGAAAUGCGCAGAGAUAUGGAGGAACACCAGUGGCGGAGGCGGCUUUCUGGUCUGCAACUGACGCUGAUGUGCGAAAGCGUGGGGAUCAAACAGGAUUAGAUACCCCAGUAGUCCCUGUCUCUUAUAC
rnacentral:rRNA from 1 species